rnacentral:rRNA from 1 species
AGGAUCAUUACCGAACCGUCGACACGAGCUGUUGCUGGCCCUCGAGAGGGGGCACGUGCACGCUCUGUUUACACAUCCACUCACACCUGUGCACCCUCUGUAGUUCUGUGGCCUUGGGGGCUCUGUCCUCUUGCCGUGGUCCUACGUCUUUACACACACACCGUAACAAAGUCUCAUGGAAUGUAUGUCGCGUUUAACGCAAUACAAUACAACUUUCAGCAACGGAUCUCUUGGCUCUCGCAUCGAUGAAGAACGCAGCGAAAUGCGAUAAGUAAUGUGAAUUGCAGAAUUCAGUGAAUCAUCGAAUCUUUGAACGCACCUUGCGCCCUUUGGCUAUUCUGAAGGGCAUGCCUGUUUGAGUAUCAUGAACACCUCAACUCUCACGGUCCGCCGUGAUGAGCUUGGACUUUGGGGGUCUUGCUGGCCUGGCGUCGGCUCCUCUCAAAUGGAUCAGCUUGCCAGUGUUUGGUGGCAUCACAGGUGUGAUAACUAUCUACGCUUGUGGUUUCCUGCCAUGCAGCCUUCAGCGAUGGAGGUUCGCUGGAGCUCACAGAUGUCUCUCCUCGGUGAGGACGGCUUUUGAACGUUUGAUCUCAAAUCAGGUAGGACUACCCGCUGAACUUAAGCAUAUCAAUAAGCGGAGGAAAAGAAACUAACAAGGAUUCCCCUAGUAACUGCGAGUGAAGCGGGAAGAGCUCAAAUUUAAAAUCUGGCGUGCCUCUGGCCGUCCGAGUUGUAGUCUGGAGAAGCGAUUUCCGUG